UGAAAGAUUCAUCCAUUUUUUUUUUUCGUAUAUCUUUUUUUCAAUAUCCAUCCUCUCUUUCAAUCAUUCAUACCAAAUAGAAGAUUAACGUCGCUGGAUAAGAUUGCCUCGUUAUUGAUAUGCUUUAAAUAUCAGUACGCAAGCGUUGGAGUCUUCCUGAAUCCAAAGCCCGUUAUCAAUUGCAGCUGUACACCUAACCAGGCGGCGUUCAACUCAGCCAAAGAUUUAACCAACAUUAGCGCCGUGAAUGAUUGAUUUAUGUUCCCACCCACAGCUAACCCGGAAACAAAGGCUCUGUGAUGGCAUGUGAGGGUGUCAGAGAAGUCAUCCAUGUAAAAGAGGCUUCCAAGCAGGAGAUGCCACCUCCAGAAUCAUGUGCUUUGUUCCAGAACUCUUUUAUCUAAAAAGUCCUGUGACCGGAGAAUGGGGAAUGACCAUCUAGUUUCCAUCAAAUAAAAAAUGGCCAUCUCGUCUCCCCGAUUGCUCCUCAAAGUACGGGGAAAAUUUUGAUCACUUGUAAACGAGCUCAUGCCGGCUAUGGAUUAAAAAACGCAACAAGCUCAUCAGGGCACGCUCAGCACUUCACAUGGUCCCUUCGACCUCGUUAAGUCGGAACAGGUCUGUUUCAGCUAAAGCUGGCACUGGUCGAUGCAACGGUGAUCCGUCAACCUUUAGUAACAUGGCACGUGCAUUAGCAACCAACUCACAAGACCUUACUUUUCGUAGCUCAAGACCGUUCAUGAUUCCUUCAAAGAAAAGACCUCUUAUCAUUAAUUUAUCACCAGAAAUAUGUACGGUUAAUCCUUCACAUAUGGUUCCGCUCCUCGAUCUUCAAUCUUCGCAGCUCAAGAGCUAGAUGUGGUUCAAAAGGCGACCAUCUUACUCGGAUCUUGAUCCUACUUAUUGGUGACAAGUUUCACCUUGAUUCUCCUUUCGUUUACAUCGUUAUAAAAUCAAAAAAAUGUAACUGCAGAGAUUUUCUUUUUCUUCUUUUUUUUUCUUUCUUUCUAUCUUUUUUUUCAGGGGAUGCAAAGAGACCAACCCUUACUGUAAUUAUCUAAGCCCAAAUUUAUUACAAAUACACUAUACCAAAAUCAAAUUAGAAACUUGUUAA